GUAGACUUGUUUAUCUGUUGGUGGGUAUUUAAAAUGUCCGAAUUUGUCAAUGGAUGACAUCACCCACGAUCUCGUCCAAAUAAAAGCUUCUUAUAGAGAAGCACUGUGGAUGAAACUGCAUGUGUGGCAGGAAGACAGCCACUACAGGCUUUCUUAACCAUGUAAUGUAAACAUUAAUGUAUCAAAACUACAAGAACACUGCACCCAGAACAGUUAAUUGAGAUAAAAU